rnacentral:rRNA from 1 species
UGAGGAAUAUUGGUCAAUGGGCGAGAGCCUGAACCAGCCAAGUAGCGUGCAGGACGACGGCCCUAUGGGUUGUAAACUGCUUUUAUGUGGGGAUAAAGUGCGUGACGUGUCAUGCAUUGCAGGUACCACAUGAAUAAGGACCGGCUAAUUCCGUGCCAGCAGCCGCGGUAAUACGGAAGGUCCGGGCGUUAUCCGGAUUUAUUGGGUUUAAAGGGAGCGUAGGCUGUCUAUUAAGCGUGUUGUGAAAUAUACCGGCUCAACCGGUGGCUUGCAGCGCGAACUGGUCGACUUGAGUAUGCAGGAAGUAGGCGGAAUUCAUGGUGUAGCGGUGAAAUGCUUAGAUAUCAUGACGAACUCCGAUUGCGCAGGCAGCUUACUGUAGCAUAACUGACGCUGAGGCUCGAAAGUGCGGGUAUCAAACAGG